UUUUUUCUAGUGUUUGAGUUUUUGGUUUUGCAUGUAGUGGCCUCUUUUUGGUUCCCUGUUUUGUUUAUUGUUAAUAGUAAAGUCUUUGUUUAAACUUUCCUUUUGUUUUUUCCACUCCGCGCCUGGGUCCUACCCUCCCGUACGUGACAAAAUUGUCUCUAAAAUAUCUGACCUGCCCCCCAACAAGUGUUUCCCCCAAGCACAUUUUUAGCAUAGUAGGCGAUGUUGUACCUUCCCAUCACUCUAGACUGAUCCUAGCUCAUGUGCAGGAGCAUGCCUUUACAAAACACAACUUGGGGAAGUUUGAGUAAGUAAAAUCAUAGCUGAAAAUGCAUUCCACUCAGGGAAGCCUUUUGGUUGUUUUCUUUAAUUUAUCUGAGCUUAUGCAAAUCAAACAUACAGGUAAUGUGGUGCUUCAAUAGAGAGGGGAGAAAAAGUAUUAACAAACCAAAAACAAAAUAUUUUAGCCUUACAUUCUGUAGUUCAUUUCAUUAGGAGCUCAUAGUAUACAGUUGUUCAUAAUGAAGAUAAGGAACUAUGUUUUGAAUUAUAUAAGCAUUUUCAGUUUAUAAUUGACUUUGUUGUCCCUCAGGUAGGGGUGGUGGUUUGCUUCAUGCAGUAUUUACUGUUAAUUUCAGGGUAGGGAUGAGUAACUGUUUUGAUUUAUUAGAACAUUUGCCUAUGUUUGAAAAUUGAUUUGACUGUUUAUCUCUGUUAUCUUUUAGUGUAAUAAAAGUGAACAUCAAACAUAUAUGUCAUUGUUAAGCACAGCUUUAAAAAGCAAAUUACCUGUUGAUGAACUGAUGUAUUAUUGAUGUCAUUGUAAAACCCUGCUUAAUGCUUUAAUAUCUCAACAAUAGCAAUGCAAGUAAUUGUAAAACAUGGAUUUUUGGCAUUUUAUACAGCUUUGGGUUAAACUCUGCAAACUCCAAGUUUUAGCCUCCCCACUUCUGUUUUUCUUUUACCCAGAUAUAAAUACAAAUAAUUUUGUUGGUUGAACAAAUACAGAUACAAAUACAAACAGUGGCAUCUCCCUUCACCCCUAGAAAAGCAAUAGGCCCACUUUAUAAUGUCAAGUUAUCGAGUGGUGGGCCAUCGGCUUUCCAACUCAGUUCUGAAGCUGUAAGCAACUAUCUCACAAAAUUUGGAUGCUGCAAUCCAACUGGGAAAAACUGAUGGAAAUGCAAAGAGAAAGCUAUUGCAAAUGGAAUGCCAUUAGCCGAUACAUUUCCAGAGCAUUUCUCAGUGAGGGAGAUAUGAUUGACUAUUUAUUGUCUUUCUCAGAAAGUGCUAAAUUAAACGCAAUUCUAAAAACCACCACAUCUCACCACAUAUAUAGGCCAUUUUCGUUUCAUCUCCAACACCAGGGAGACGAAAGCCAUACAUCCUGUUCCUCUCUUCAGCACAGAGCGGAGAGAAAGGAAUCCAGCCCUCCUCAUUGCAGAGGAGAGGAGUCCCAUGUUUCAAUUUUGUCCACUCAUCGCCAGCCUGUCUCGUUUUGACCCUGAUUCUUCGCCUGCCGUUUAUAUACCUUUGCCUCGUUCUGCCCUGUACACCGACCUUCGCCUGUUACUGGACUACGGACCUGCUGCUGCCCCUUUCGUACUGUUGCUCCGCUGCUUGAUUUCCUGGUUUACGAACUUAACCUGGAUUUUGAUUACGAGACCUAUUAUUCCCUUUUGUACUGUGCGUCGCCGAUUGAUUUCCUGGAUCACGAACUGUUGCCCGUUAAACUGGGUGUGCUUAUAAUGAAUCGGAUAUUUAUUUCGGGGAUAACUUCAGUUUCCGUCUGCAUUUGGGUCCUGUACUCUCCAGUUCACCUCAGCUACCUUUCCUGCAGUUUCAAUUAGGCUACUUCAUGGAAAAUUUUAUAUAAAUAUUAGCAGAAUGUGUUCACUACCCAGAUCCAUUUCCUCAUAACUUUUUAUGAUUUGUAAUACUAAAUUCUAUUAUUACCUAUACUGUCUUAAUUUGUCAAUACAAGAAUUAAAUAAAAUAUUAUUAGAUA